rnacentral:rRNA from 1 species
AGAUUGAACGCUGGCGGCAGGCUUAACACAUGCAAGUCGAACGAUGAAACUCUAGCUUGCUAGAGAAGAUUAGUGGCGGACGGGUGAGUAACAUUUAGGAAUCUGCCUAGUAGUGGGGGAUAGCUCGGGGAAACUCGAAUUAAUACCGCAUACGACCUACGGGUGAAAGGGGGCGCAAGCUCUUGCUAUUAGAUGAGCCUAAAUCAGAUUAGCUAGUUGGUGGGGUAAAGGCCCACCAAGGCGACGAUCUGUAACUGGUCUGAGAGGAUGAUCAGUCACACCGGAACUGAGACACGGUCCGGACUCCUACGGGAGGCAGCAGUGGGGAAUAUUGGACAAUGGGGGCAACCCUGAUCCAGCCAUGCCGCGUGUGUGAAGAAGGCCUUUUGGUUGUAAAGCACUUUAAGCAGGGAGGAGAGGCUAAUGGUUAAUACCCAUUAGAUUAGACGUUACCUGCAGAAUAAGCACCGGCUAACUCUGUGCCAGCAGCCGCGGUAAUACAGAGGGUGCGAGCGUUAAUCGGAAUUACUGGGCGUAAAGCGAGUGUAGGUGGCUCAUUAAGUCACAUGUGAAAUCCCCGGGCUUAACCUGGGAACUGCAUGUGAUACUGGUGGUGCUAGAAUAUGUGAGAGGGAAGUAGAAUUCCAGGUGUAGCGGUGAAAUGCGUAGAGAUCUGGAGGAAUACCGAUGGCGAAGGCAGCUUCCUGGCAUAAUAUUGACACUGAGAUUCGAAAGCGUGGGUAGCAAACAGGAUUAGAUACCCUGGUAGUCCACGCCGUAAACGAUGUCUACUAGCCGUUGGGGUCCUUGAGACUUUAGUGGCGCAGUUAACGCGAUAAGUAGACCGCCUGGGGAGUACGGCCGCAAGGUUAAAACUCAAAUGAAUUGACGGGGGCCCGCACAAGCGGUGGAGCAUGUGGUUUAAUUCGAUGCAACGCGAAGAACCUUACCUGGUCUUGACAUAGUGAGAAUCUUUCAGAGAUGAGAGAGUGCCUUCGGGAAUUCACAUACAGGUGCUGCAUGGCUGUCGUCAGCUCGUGUCGUGAGAUGUUGGGUUAAGUCCCGCAACGAGCGCAACCCUUUUCCUUAUUUGCCAGCGGGUUAAGCCGGGAACUUUAAGGAUACUGCCAGUGACAAACUGGAGGAAGGCGGGGACGACGUCAAGUCAUCAUGGCCCUUACGACCAGGGCUACACACGUGCUACAAUGGUAGGUACAGAGGGUUGCUACACAGCGAUGUGAUGCUAAUCUCAAAAAGCCUAUCGUAGUCCGGAUUGGAGUCUGCAACUCGACUCCAUGAAGUCGGAAUCGCUAGUAAUCGCAGAUCAGAAUGCUGCGGUGAAUACGUUCCCGGGCCUUGUACACACCGCCCGUCACACCAUGGGAGUCUAUUGCACCAGAAGUAGGUAGCCUAACG